rnacentral:rRNA from 1 species
UAGGGAAUCUUCCGCAAUGGGCGCAAGCCUGAUGGAGCAACACCGCGUGAGUGAAGAAGGGUUUCGGCUCGUAAAGCUCUGUUGUUGGAGAAGAACGUGCGUGAGAGUAACUGUUCACGCAGUGACGGUAUCCAACCAGAAAGCCACGGCUAACUACGUGCCAGCAGCCGCGGUAAUACGUAGGUGGCAAGCGUUGUCCGGAUUUAUUGGGCGUAAAGCGAGCGCAGGCGGUUUCUUAAGUCUGAUGUGAAAGCCUUCGGCUUAACCGGAGUAGCGCAUUGGAAACUGGGAGACUUGAGUGCAGAAGAGGAGAGUGGAACUCCACGUGUAGCGGUGAAAUGCGUAGAUAUAUGGAAGAACACCAGUGGCGAAGGCGGCUCUCUGGUCUGCAACUGACGCUGAGGCUCGAAAGCAUGGGUAGCGAACAGG